rnacentral:rRNA from 1 species
AACGCUAGCUACAGGCUUAACACAUGCAAGUCGCGGGGUAACGAGAGGGAAGCUUGCUUUCCUUGUCGACGACCGGCGCACGGGUGAGUAACGCGUACCCAACCUGCCCAUUACCACGGGAUACCCCGUCGAAAGGCGGCCUAAUACCGUAUGCAGUCGUCAGAUGACAUCAGAGGACGACGAAAGGAUUGGCGGUAACGGAUGGGGAUGCGUCUGAUUAGGUAGUUGGAGGGGUAACGGCCCACCAAGCCAUCGAUCAGUAGGGGUUCUGAGAGGAAGGUCCCCCACAUUGGAACUGAGACACGGUCCAAACUCCUACGGGAGGCAGCAGUGAGGAAUAUUGGUCAAUGGGCGCGAGCCUGAACCAGCCAAGUAGCGUGAGGGAUGACGGCCCUAUGGGUUGUAAACCUCUUUUAUGCGGGAAUAAAAUGUUUGACGUGUCAUACAUUGUAGGUACCGCAAGAAUAAGGACCGGCUAAUUCCGUGCCAGCAGCCGCGGUAAUACGGAAGGUCCAGGCGUUAUCCGGAUUUAUUGGGUUUAAAGGGAGCGUAGGCGGAGCGUCAAGCCAGCAGUGAAAUGUAGCGGCCCAACCGCUGCACUGCUGUUGGAACUGGCGCCCUUGAGUGCACACGAGGUAUGCGGAAUUUGUGGUGUAGCGGUGAAAUGCUUAGAUAUCACGAAGAACUCCGAUUG